rnacentral:rRNA from 1 species
GAAUGCUGACAUAAGUAACGAUAAAGCGGGUGAAAAGCCCGCUCGCCGGAAGACCAAGGGUUCCUGUCCAACGUUAAUCGGGGCAGGGUGAGUCGACCCCUAAGGCGAGGCCGAAAGGCGUAGUCGAUGGGAAACAGGUUAAUAUUCCUGUACUUGGUGUUACUGCGAAGGGGGGACGGAGAAGGCUAUGUUGGCCGGGCGACGGUUGUCCCGGUUUAAGCGUGUAGGCUGGUUUUCCAGGCAAAUCCGGAAAAUCAAGGCUGAGGCGUGAUGACGAGGCACUACGGUGCUGAAGCGACAAAUGCCCUGCUUCCAGGAAAAGCCUCUAAGCAUCAGGUAACAUCAAAUCGUACCCCAAACCGACACAGGUGGUCAGGUAGAGAAUACCAAGGCGCUUGAGAGAACUCGGGUGAAGGAACUAGGCAAAAUGGUGCCGUAACUUCGGGAGAAGGCACGCUGAUAUGUAGGUGAAGCGACUUGCUCGUGGAGCUGAAAUCAGUCGAAGAUACCAGCUGGCUGCAACUGUUUAUUAAAAACACAGCACUGUGCAAACACGAAAGUGGACGUAUACGGUGUGACGCCUGCCCGGUGCCGGAAGGUUAAUUGAUGGGGUUAGCGGUAACGCGAAGCUCUUGAUCGAAGCCCCGGUAAACGGCGGCCGUAACUAUAACGGUCCUAAGGUAGCGAAAUUCCUUGUCGGGUAAGUUCCGACCUGCACGAAUGGCGUAAUGAUGGCCAGGCUGUCUCCACCCGAGACUCAGUGAAAUUGAACUCGCUGUGAAGAUGCAGUGUACCCGCGGCAAGACGGAAAGACCCCGUGAACCUUUACUAUAGCUUGACACUGAACAUUGAGCCUUGAUGUGUAGGAUAGGUGGGAGGCUUUGAAGUGUGGACGCCAGUCUGCAUGGAGCCGACCUUGAAAUACCACCCUUUAAUGUUUGAUGUUCUAACGUGGGCCCCUUACCGGGGUUGCGGACAGUGUCUGGUGGGUAGUUUGACUGGGGCGGUCUCCUCCUAAAGAGUAACGGAGGAGCACGAAGGUUGGCUAAUCCUGGUCGGACAUCAGGAGGUUAGUGCAAUGGCAUAAGCCAGCUUGACUGCGAGCGUGACGGCGCGAGCAGGUGCGAAAGCAGGUCAUAGUGAUCCGGUGGUUCUGAAUGGAAGGGCCAUCGCUCAACGGAUAAAAGGUACUCCGGGGAUAACAGGCUGAUACCGCCCAAGAGUUCAUAUCGACGGCGGUGUUUGGCACCUCGAUGUCGGCUCAUCACAUCCUGGGGCUGAAGUAGGUCCCAAGGGUAUGGCUGUUCGCCAUUUAAAGUGGUACGCGAGCUGGGUUUAGAACGUCGUGAGACAGUUCGGUCCCUAUCUGCCGUGGGCGCUGGAGAACUGAGGGGGGCUGCUCCUAGUACGAGAGGACCGGAGUGGACGCAUCACUGGUGUUCGGGUUGUCAUGCCAAUGGCACUGCCCGGUAGCUAAAUGCGGAAGAGAUAAGUGCUGAAAGCAUCUAAGCACGAAACUUGCCCCGAGAUGAGUUCUCCCUGACUCCUUGAGAGUCCUGAAGGAACGUUGAAGACGACGACGUUGAUAGGCCGGGUGUGUAAGCGCAGCGAUGCGUUGAGCUAACCGGUAC